UGGCGUACUGAAUGUCCAUUAUUUGUACGCAUUAAUUACACCUCCUUAGCGUAGCAACAGAUGACGAAACACGACGCAACAAUUAGUACAUCUACGAUAAUUAUUCGUCUGUUACGACACGAUUCAGAUGUAGGUCGGACAAGGAGAGACGAGAGACACGAAAGGAACCAACAAUAUGCUUGUAAACGGUAUCCAUGAUCCACAAGAUCAGCGCCAUCUGCCCUGCUAUGUUUUUUACAGUUAGGCUGUCCACAAUCCACAUCAACUUACAGUACGCCAGCCUUAGCAUGUGAUUAAGAUUUACAGCAGCAUUCCGAAUGAAGUGCACGGCAAACUUCAGCUGCAGUAGAGUGAAGGGAGACCGAACGGAGCCAAGUCUGCUAUGAAGAAGAAGAAGAAGAGUCCACUCCGAACGCAUCGACUAAAUAAUGAAGGAAAUAUGGGGUAUACCAUGGUUUAACUGCCUUGGUAAUGAAGUUACAAAAUCAGCAGCUGUAAUUCCUGUAAGUACUAUAAAUGUAUACAUAAUACAGUAGUAGCCUUGGCUUGUAUACUAAUUUUCUUGUUUGUUAUAGUUAAGGAAUACUCUUGAUGAUUUACUUGUAGAAAGCGACAUAUAUUGAAUACUACAACAGUGAUUGGAGGGAAUACGUUUACAACCAUGCUUGAAGUGCAA